rnacentral:lncRNA from 1 species
ACAUUUCGGAUCUCUUAAAAAAAAUUUAGAUUCCCCUACCAUGACGCUGGUUGAUGCCUAUAUCUUAUGUUUUGUUUAAAUUUUUAUUGGGAACAGUAAGAGUAUAUGUGAAAGAGUGAAAGGGAAAGUGGCAGAUAUGGUAAUUCUGAAGAAAUAUAGAGUCCGGUUUGGUCCUGGAAACUUUCCAAAUGGUGCACAGAGAGGAAAGCUUGACAGUUUUUAUCGAAAAAAGCUAUUUGUUUUUUGAGUUUUUUCUAUUAAUUAGCUUUUAAUAAGUGAAAUAUUUAUAAACGUCUCUUUUAGCUGUUUUUUGGGGAUUUUUUUUUUUGUAAAUUUUCCCUUUUUUGCAUUCAUUUGAAUGUCUUUGAUCAUUCCUCUAGCUAAUUUGCAGCAGAAAAUAUACCAAUUUCAUGUUUUUUUGUUUUUUCUUACCAUAUGUUGCAGAACAGUAAUAUUGCAGAUUUCUUUCUUAAGUGCAAGACACAAAUCUAAAAUCGAGCUAAACCGAAUCUCGAAAUAACAAUAAAGUUCUCUCACUGCUUAUUCAAACCCGAAAUUCUUAUCAUUCAACUCAACAAGCAUUAGAAUGCUGCUGCAGAUUAAACUAUUUUUUCAUGAAUUCUACAGAACAUAUAUGAUAAAAUAGUGAUGCAAUAUCAAUGCAAAUUUUGUGGAACCCUUGAAAAACUCAUCCUUUUUCUUGCUAUACUGAAUUGACCAUUGCAGGUCCCAUUUUCUCUCUGGUUCCAACGCUACCUUUUAAACACAAAAAUUAUUGGCAUUGAGGGGUUAACCAUCAAAGCUGCAAUACAAAUACAAAGUCACAAAAUAUUGCAGAAAAAAAGGGUGUUUUUUUGUUGUGGAAAGAGCAAAAAGAAACAUCGUUAAAUGCAGUGUUGAUGAACUUAUCAAAACAGAAAAAAAGCUCAUCAACGCUGCACUCAACAAUGUUUCUUCAAUCUGAGAUAAUAUAUGUAAAUGCUUAACUUAAUUCAACCGAUCAACAUGCAUAUACAUAUAUAUAUGUUACGUUGGGGAAAUAUUUAAGUCACCUUUCAAUUUGUCUGCAGCUCUUUGAAUGAAGUUUGCUUGGAGUAGUUGUACUAAUUUUCUUUUUGUUUUCUUGGAUUGGAAUCUUUACCACAUUUAACACCAACAAUGCAACUAUCGAAUUCAUUUGUAUGGUUUGCCAUAACUUUCUCUAGAGAUAGUAUAGUAUGUAAAAAAAAAAUUGUAUAAAUGGUUGGCUCUUUUUCACAAUUGCAAGCAACUA